rnacentral:rRNA from 1 species
GACGAACCGUCCAAACGUUAUUCGGAAUCACUGGGCUUAAAGGGUGCGUAGGCGGCGCGGCAAGUUGGGUGUGAAAUCCCUCGGCUCAACCGAGGAACUGCGCCCAAAACUACCGUGCUCGAGGGAGAUAGAGGUGAGCGGAACUUAGGGUGGAGCGGUGAAAUGCGUUGAUAUCCUAAGGAACACCGGUGGCGAAAGCGGCUCACUGGAUCUCUUCUGACGCUGAGGCACGAAAGCUAGGGUAGCGAACGGG